UACGUAGGGCGCAAGCGUUGUCCGGAAUUAUUGGGCGUAAAGAGCUCGUAGGCGGCUUGUCACGUCGGAUGUGAAAGCCCGGGGCUUAACUCCGGGUCUGCAUUCGAUACGGGCUGGCUAGAGUGUGGUAGGGGAGAUCGGAAUUCCUGGUGUAGCGGUGAAAUGCGCAGAUAUCAGGAGGAACACCGAUGGCGAAGGCAGGUCUCUGGGCCACUACUGACGCUGAGAAGCGAAAGCAUGGGGAGCGAACAGG
rnacentral:rRNA from 1 species